rnacentral:rRNA from 1 species
AGAGUUUGAUCCUGGCUCAGGAUGAACGCUGGCGGCGUGCUUAACACAUGCAAGUCGAACGGAGAUAAGAGAAAGCUUGCUUUUCUUAUCUUAGUGGCGGACGGGUGAGUAACGCGUGGGUAACCUACCCUGUACAGGGGGAUAGCAGUUGGAAACGACUGAUAAAACCGCAUAAAACGGCAGUACCGCAUGGUACAACCGUCAAAUAUUCAUAGGUACAGGAUGGGCCCGCGUCUGAUUAGCUAGUUGGUGGGGCAACGGCCUACCAAGGCGACGAUCAGUAGCCGGCCUGAGAGGGUGAACGGCCACAUUGGGACUGAGACACGGCCCAAACUCCUACGGGAGGCAGCAGUGGGGAAUAUUGGACAAUGGGGGAAACCCUGAUCCAGCGACGCCCGCGUGAGUGAAGAAGUAUUUCGGUAUGUAAAGCUCUAUCAGCAGGGAAGAUGAUGACGGUACCUGACUAAGAAGCACCGGCUAAAUACGUGCCAGCCGCUGC